rnacentral:lncRNA from 1 species
AUGCUGGGCUGUGAUCGGAGUGGACAGCUGAGGAUUGGGGGCGGGAGAAGGUGGCCGCAGGACCCAGGAUGGCGCACUCCACGUCCUGGGGGAAGUGCCGAAAGGGCAGCCAUCAGGGAAGAAGCACAGGGGACGGGGCAGCCCUCCUGGAUUCCCUGCCAGGAAGACGGCGAUGCAGGCCAGCACUGCCUCGUCCCUCAGGUCUCGGGUGUCGGGUUGAUUGACGGAGGAUGGAGAGUGAUGGAGACAGUCAUUGGACCAGCAGUGCAGAACCCUGGCUAUGGACGCAUCCUGCCAUUAACUCUCCAUCCCACUCAACACUGGAGCUCUUUGGUUCCUAAUCUGUCAAACAGAAUUGCUCCUGUCUCUUCACCUCAUUUCUGA